UGCCAGCAGCCGCGGUAAUACGUAUGUCGCAAGCGUUAUCCGGAAUUAUUGGGCGUAAAGCGAGUCUAGGCGGCUUGUUAAGUCAGAUGUGAAAUCCCAAGGCUCAACCUUGGAGCUGCCAUCAAAACUUUUUAGCUAGAGUAUGAUAGAGGAAAGUGGAAUUUCUAGUGUAGAGGUGAAAUUCGUAGAUAUUAGAAAGAACAUCAAAUGCGAAGGCAACUUUCUGGAUCAUUACUGACACUGAGGAGCGAAAGCAUGGGUAGCGAAGAGGAUUAGAUA
rnacentral:rRNA from 1 species